ACAAUGGGCGCAAGCCUGAUGCAGCCAUGCCGCGUGUAUGAAGAAGGCCUUCGGGUUGUAAAGCCCUAUCGGCAGGGAAGAAGGAGGACGGUACCUGACUAAGAAGCCCCGGCUAACUACGUGCCAGCAGCCGCGGUAAUACGUAGGGGGCAAGCGUUAUCCGGAUUUACUGGGUGUAAAGGGGGCGCAGACGGCAGCGCAAGCCAGGAGUGAAAGCCCGGGGCCCAACCCCGGGACUGCUCUUGGAACUGCGCGGCUGGAGUGCAGGAGGGGCAGGCGGAAUUCCUGGUGUAGCGGUGAAAUGCGUAGAUAUCAGGAGGAACACCGGUGGCGAAGGCGGCCUGCUGGACUGCGACUGACGUUGAGGCCCGAAAGCGUGGGGAGC
rnacentral:rRNA from 1 species